rnacentral:rRNA from 1 species
UUAGAGUUUGAUCAUGGCUCAGGACGAACGCUGGCGGCGUGCUUAACACAUGCAAGUCGAGCGAUGAGAUCCCUUCGGGGAAGGAUUAGCGGCGAACGGGUGAGGAACACGUGAAGAAUCUGCCUUCAACUCUGGGAUAACACCGGGAAACCGGUGCUAAUACCGGAUAUGAGCCUUGAUCGCAUGAUCGGGGCUGGAAAGUUUUUCGGUUGAAGAUGACUUCGCGGCCUAUCAGCUUGUUGGUGAGGUAAUGGCUCACCAAGGCGACGACGGGUAGCCGGCCUGAGAGGGCGACCGGCCACACUGGGACUGAGACACGGCCCAGACCCCUACGGGAGGCAGCAGUGGGGAAUAUUGGGCAAUGGACGAAAGUCUGACCCAGCGACGCCGCGUGAGGGAUGAAGGCCUUCGGGUUGUAAACCUCUUUCAGCAGGGAAGAAGCGAAAGUGACGGUACCUGCAGAAGAAGCACCGGCUAACUAUGUGCCAGCAGCCGCGGUAAUACAUAGGGUGCAAGCGUUGUCCGGAAUUAUUGGGCGUAAAGAGCUCGUAGGUGGUUAGUUACGUCGGAUGUGAAAAUCUAGGGCUCAACCCUAGACCUGCAUCCGAUACGGGCUAGCUUGAGUUUGGUAGGGGAGACUGGAAUUCCUGGUGUAGCGGUGGAAUGCGCAGAUAUCAUGAGGAACACCAAUGGCGAAGGCAGGUCUCUGGGCCAAUACUGACACUGAGGAGCGAAGUGUGGGGAGCGAACAGGAUUAGAUACCCUGGUAGUCCACACAGUAAACGAUGGGCACUAGU